GAUGAACGCUGGCGGCGUGCCUAAUACAUGCAAGUCGAGCGAACGGACGAGAAGCUUGCUUCUCUGAUGUUAGCGGCGGACGGGUGAGUAACACGUGGAUAACCUACCUAUAAGACUGGGAUAACUUCGGGAAACCGGAGCUAAUACCGGAUAAUAUUUUGAACCGCAUGGUUCAAAAGUGAAAGACGGUCUUGCUGUCACUUAUAGAUGGAUCCGCGCUGCAUUAGCUAGUUGGUAAGGUAACGGCUUACCAAGACAACGAUGCAUAGCCGACCUGAGAGGGUGAUCGGCCACACUGGAACUGAGACACGGUCCAGACUCCUACGGGAGGCAGCAGUAGGGAAUCUUCCGCAAAGGGCGAAAGCCUGACGGAGCAACGCCGCGUGAGUGAUGAAGGUCUUCGGAUCGUAAAACUCUGUUAUUAGGGAGGAACAUAUGUGUAAGUAACUGUGCACAUCUUGACGGUACCUAAUCAGAAAGCCACGGCUAACUACGUG
rnacentral:rRNA from 1 species